GUUUUUAAGAGUAAAAUUUAAAAUUUGUUCUGCUCACUGAAAUUUAAAGAGCCGCAGUAUUUUGACUGUGCAAAGGUAGCAUAAUCAUUAGUUUUUUAAUUGAAAACUGGCAUGAAAGAAUGGACGAUAAAUAGACUUUCUUAAUUUUAUAAGUUGAAUUUAAAUUUUGAGUUAAAAUUCUUAAUUAAAUUUAAAAGACGAGAAGACCCUAUAGAUUUUUAUUAAUUAAAAGAUUUAAAAUAAAAAGAAUUUUUUAAUUAAUUUAAUUGGGGUGAUUUUGUAAUAUAAAAAACUUAAUUUAAUAAAACCAUAAAUAAUUGAAUUUUUGAUCUAAAAUUUUUAAAUUUAAGAUUAAAUUACCUUAGGGAUAACAGCGUUAUAUUAUUUAAGAGUACAUAUCUAUAAUAAUGAUUGCGACCUCGAUGUUGAAUUAAGAGUUAUAUAGGAGUAGAAGCUUAUAGAAAUAGUCUGUUCGACUAAUAAUUUCU
rnacentral:rRNA from 1 species